ACAGCAGUUACUGUUUAAACAGGUGGUGGCUGUGGAGGGUUGGGAGGGACUAGGCUUCAGUACCAGGCAUGGACAGGCACAUGCCACAAGGGCCUCUGCAUCAGCCACAUGGAACUGGCCUACCCCUGUUCCCAUGUCCCCCUCCUCCUGACCUUUCCCCCAUCACUUCUUCCUGUCAGCUGAGAGGUACCCUGGAUUGACCCUGCCUCUCUGGCUUGGCUUUCCUGUCCCCAUAGUGGGUGAUGGGGCCACUUACCAGCUUCCGAAGGGCUCCCUCAUCCAGCCCAGCUAAGGCCUCGUCCGCCAUCUCGCUGGCCCCUAGCUCCGUUGGUUCCUUUCUGGUGAGAUCCCCAGUGCCUGUGGCACCUGUCACCAGCUCAGAGAAUUCUGCAGGGGACAGACAUGAAUCAGGCAUGCUGGGGCUUCUAGAAACCACAGGCACUUAGGCUCUGUGCCUUACUUUCCCUCUCUAACCUAGGAGCGUCCAUUACUGUCCCAUCCUAUAAUGUGGCUCCUGGCUGGAAGCUGCCCUCUGCCCUAGGGUGGUUUGCUGGAAAACUCACCAAACCCAGGGUAGGGGGUCUCUGGUUCCAGCCCUGCCAGCUUGGCCGCCAGUCUGCUGUGUGGCCUGGGAUAGACUCUCAUCCUGUCUAAACCUCAAAACAGGGAGGGCAGGGACCUGGAUUGAGAAGCCAGGGCCUGGCAAGACCCACCCAAGCUGUGCUUACCACCAGGGGGUGCACUCCAGUCUCCAGUUUCCUGCCCCACCCACCCAUCCACAGGGCCUACCCAGCCCCCACCCACUCCGCAGGCUCAGCUUCUGGCUGUGGGCUGAACCUGUAGUUCUUGCUGCCACCACCACUGUCAUUCCCCCAGGUAUAGGAAGGUACACUGUGUCUUCCGAUUCUUGGAGCCAGCUCUGCUGUCCAGACCUCCUGAAGCCAGGUGUCCAGGCACCCAGCACCUCCUGCCAAUUCAUACAGAAUUCAAUUCCCCACCUGGAAGGGCUUUCAGAAGCUGACCUGCCUAACCCCUGGAUUUCAGGCAAACUGAGAAGAUUGGAGAGGGCCAAGGAUUUGUCACUGAGCAAGGAGGAAGCCAAAGACUUAGAGGGCAGAGAAGGAUGUAAUCAAAAUCUUCGUCAUCUCCGGCUUCCGAAGCUCCCUUCCAAAGUGCCCUCAAGGGCCUGGAACACUCUCAGUGACAGAGGCAAGAGCCCCAUCUUGCCCCAGUGCUGCCCAUCAAAAUGGACCCCUAAAUCCUGGCCCAGCCUCCCAGCGCAGAUCUCUCCUUCCUCCUGUAGCCCCAACUAAUGUCUGUCUGGAAUUUGAGGGGCCCUGGUCUGGCACACUGUGGAUGCUUAGUUAAUGUAUGGUGACUGACUAAUGUGUGGCCCCAGGCCUGCCCCCC
rnacentral:antisense_RNA from 1 species